UAGUCACUUUUCACUGUUUGAUUUGUACACCUAGAUCUGUACAACACUUUUAUUGUACAGAUGUAAGUGUACGUUGUGUAUUUUUAUAUACAUUUGUACACUAAAAAUGUUGUACAGAUCUAAGUGUACAAAUCAAACAGU
rnacentral:pre_miRNA from 1 species